rnacentral:tRNA from 1 species
GCGCACGUGGCGGAAUUGGCAGACGCGCUACUUUGAGGUGGUAGUGCCUAACGGCGUGCAGGUUCAAGUCCUGCCGUGCGCACCA